ensembl:miRNA gga-mir-1633 gga-mir-1633
UGGGUUUGGAGCUGAGCUCUGCGCUUCUGCUCAGCUCGGUGUCUGAGGAGGCAAUGGCCUGAGCUGCUGAAGCGUGGGCAUGGGCUGCAACUCCA